GAUGAACGCUGGCGGCGUGCUUAACACAUGCAAGUCGAGCGAAGCACUUAUCAUUGACUCUUCGGAGGAUUUGAUAUUUGACUGAGCGGCGGACGGGUGAGUAACGCGUGGGUAACCUGCCUCAUACAGGGGAAUAACAGUUAGAAAUGGCUGCUAAUGCCGCAUAAGCGCACAGGACCGCAUGGUCUGGUGUGAAAAACUGAGGUGGUAUGAGAUGGACCCGCGUCUGAUUAGGUAGUUGGUGGGGUAACGGCCUACCAAGCCGACGAUCAGUAGCCGGCCUGAGAGGGUGAACGGCCACAUUGGGACUGAGACACGGCCCAGACUCCUACGGGAGGCAGCAGUGGGGAAUAUUGCACAAUGGGGGAAACCCUGAUGCAGCGACGCCGCGUGAAGGAAGAAGUAUCUCGGUAUGUAAACUUCUAUCAGCAGGGAAGAAAAUGACG
rnacentral:rRNA from 1 species